UAGAUGGUUGCAUUUGCGUAGGCUGACUAUGGCCAAACAAAUUGUUCACAUUUUCAGUAGGUGGACUAAAACCAACAGGAUCAUCCAAAUUUUCAGUAGGUGGUUGCAUUCGCAUGGGCUGAGGAUGCGCAUGAGAAGGGUUUGCAUUUUCAGUAGGUGGUUGCAUUCGCAUGGGCUGAGGACGCCCUUCAGGAUGGUUGGCAUUUUCGAUAGGCGAUUGCACUUCCAUGGGCUGAGAAUGACCAUGAGAACGGUC
rnacentral:lncRNA from 1 species